CGGGGUGAGUAAUGUAUGGGGAUCUGCCUGAUGGCGGGGGAUAACUACUGGAAACGGUAGCUAAUACCGCAUAAUGUCUGCGGACCAAAGCGGGGGACCUCCGGGCCUCGCGCCAUCAGAUGAACCCAUAUGGGAUUAGCUAGUAGGUGAGGUAACGGCUUACCUAGGCGACGAUCCCUAGCUGGUCUGAGAGGAUGACCAGCCACACUGGAACUGAGACACGGUCCAG
rnacentral:rRNA from 1 species